rnacentral:rRNA from 1 species
CACAUGCAAGUCGAGGGGUAUUUAUCUUCGGAUAAUGAGACCGGCGCACGGGUGCGUAACGCGUAUGCAAUCUACCUUUCACAGAGGGAUAGCCCAGAGAAAUUUGGAUUAAUACCUCAUAGCAUAGCAGUCUCGCAUGAGACCACUAUUAAAGAUUUAUCGGUGAAAGAUGAGCAUGCGUCCCAUUAGCUAGUUGGUAUGGUAACGGCAUACCAAGGCUACGAUGGGUAGGGGUCCUGAGAGGGAGAUCCCCCACACUGGUACUGAGACACGGACCAGACUCCUACGGGAGGCAGCAGUGAGGAAUAUUGGACAAUGGGCGCAAGCCUGAUCCAGCCAUGCCGCGUGCAGGAUGACGGUCCUAUGGAUUGUAAACUGCUUUUAUACAGGAAGAAACACCUCUACGAGUAGAGACUUGACGGUACUGUAAGAAUAAGGAUCGGCUAACUCCGUGCCAGCAGCCGCGGUAAUACGGAGGAUCCAAGCGUUAUCCGGAAUCAUUGGGUUUAAAGGGUCCGUAGGCGGUUUAGUAAGUCAGUGGUGAAAGCCCAUCGCUCAACGGUGGAACGGCCAUUGAUACUGCUAGACUUGAAUUAUUAGGAAGUAACUAGAAUAUGUAGUGUAGCGGUGAAAUGCUUAGAGAUUACAUGGAAUACCAAUUGCGAAGGCAGGUUACUACUAAUAUAUUGACGCUGAUGGACGAAAGCGUGGGUAGCGAACAGGAUUAGAUACCCUGGUAGUCCACGCCGUAAACGAUGGAUACUAGCUGUUGGGAGCAAUCUCAGUGGCUAAGCGAAAGUGAUAAAGUAUCCCACCUGGGGAGUACGAACGCAAGUUUGAAACUCAAAGGAAUUGACGGGGGCCCGCACAAGCCGGUGGAGCAUGUGGGUUAAUUCGAUGAUACGCGAGGAACCUUACCAAGGCUUAAAUGUAGUUUGACCGGGUUGGAAACAAACUUUUCGCAAGACAAAUUACAAGGUGCUGCAUGGUUGUCGUCAGCUCGUGCCGUGAGGUGUCAGGUUAAGUCCUAUAACGAGCGCAACCCCUGUUGUUAGUUGCCAGCGAGUCAUGUCGGGAACUCUAACAAGACUGCCAGUGUAAACUGUGAGGAAGGUGGGGAUGACGUCAAAUCAUCACGGCCCUUACGCCUUGGGCUACACACGUGCUACAAUGGACGGUACAGAGAGCAGCCACUGGGCAACCAGGAGCGAAUCUACAAAACCGUUCUCAGUUCGGAUCGGAGUCUGCAACUCGACUCCGUGAAGCUGGAAUCGCUAGUAAUCGGAUAUCAGCCAUGAUCCGGUGAAUACGUUCCCGGGCCUUGUACACACCGCCCGUCAAGCCAUGGAAGCUGGGGGUGCCUGAAGUCGGUGACC